rnacentral:rRNA from 1 species
UACGGAGGGUGCAAGCGUUAUCCGGAUUCACUGGGUUUAAAGGGUGCGUAGGUGGACAUUUAAGUCAGUGGUGAAAUCUUUGGGCUUAACCCGAAAACUGCCAUUGAUACUAUUUGUCUUGAAUUCUCUGGAGGUAAGCGGAAUAUGUCAUGUAGCGGUGAAAUGCUUAGAUAUGACAUAGAACACCCAUUGCGAAGGCAGCUUACUACGGAGACAUUGACACUGAGGCACGAAAGCGUGGGGAUCAAACAGGAUUAGAUACCCUGGUAGUCCACGCCCUAAACGAUGAUUACUCGACAUUAGCGAUAUUACUGUUAGUGUCUAAGCGAAAGCAUUAAGUAAUCCACCUGGGAAGUACGACCGCAAGGUUG